GCUAGGUCACUCCCGGUGUUGGGAUACAAGAUACAAGGCUAGGUCACUCCCGGUGUUGGGAUACAAGAUACAAGGCUAGGUCACUCCCGGUGAUACAAGAUAUAAUGUUAGGUCACUCCCGGUGUUGGGAUACAAGAUACAAGCUAGGUCACUCCCGGUGUUGGGAUACAAGAUACAAGGCUAGGUCACUCCCGGUGUUGGGAUGGCCUGAGGUGCUUAUCUCCUUUUCAUUAA